GGAUUGGGUGCAAGGAGUUGGUGUUGAUGGAGGAGCAGGACGCCAGAGUCCCAGCCCUGGAACCGUUCAGAGUGGAGCAGGCACCACCUGUAAUCUACUAUGUCCCUGACUUCAUCUCCAAAGAAGAGGAGGAGUAUUUGCUUCGACAGGUGGGCUUCCUCAUCCCCGAGGGAUGGUUCCUGAGCGGCUGCCCCCAUGGCUCCAGCGCUACGUGGACAAAGUGUCAAACCUCAGCCUCUUUGGAGGCCUCCCAGCUAACCAUGUCCUCGUGAACCAGUAUCUGCCUGGGGAGGGCAUCAUGCACCAUCAGCCUGGGCUCCCACACCGUGCUGGACUUCUACGAGCCGCGGCGGCCAGAGGACGAUGACCCUACAGAACAGCCUCGGCCUCCGCCCCGGCCCACCACCUCGCUACUGCUGGAACCGCGCAGCCUGCUGGUGCUCCGCGGCCCCGCCUACACGCGUCUUCUCCACGGCAUCGCCGCCGCCCGCGUAGACGCGCUGGACGCCGCCUCCUCGCCGCCCAAUGCGGCAGCCUGCCCGUCGGCGCGGCCGGGAGCCUGCCUGGUGCGCGGCACCCGGGUCUCGCUGACCAUCCGCCGCGUGCCCCGCGUGCUGCGCGCCGGCCUCCUGCUGGGCCCCCAGCCAUGGCCCUGUCCCUGCCUCUGGGCCCUAGACUUGGCUCAGAGCCCCUCAACCACCCACCGGGAGCACCUAGAGAGGCGGACAUUGUUGGAUGCACCGUCUGCCCCGCGUCCGGAGAGGAGAGCACGAGCACCCCAUUUCUGGCCUGGAGGUACUAGAGGCUGAGCAGAACAGCCUGCACCUGUGCCUGCUGGGGCUGGGCCGCCGGCUGCAGGACCUGGAGCAAGGCCUGGGGCACUGGGCAUUGGCCCAGAGUGGGAUGGUGCAGCUGCAGGCCCUCCAGGUGGACCUACGAGGGGCAGCUGAGCGUGUGGAGGCGCUGCUAGCGUUUGGUGAGGGGCUGGCACAGCGGAGUGAGCCCAGGGCCUGGGCAGCCCUGGAGCAGAUCCUGCGGGCCCUGGGAGCUUACCGAGACUCCAUCUUCCGGCGGCUCUGGCAGCUGCAGGCCCAGCUGGUCAGCUACAGCCUGGUGUUCGAGGAGGCCAACACGCUGGACCAGGACUUGGAGGUCGAGGGAGACUCGGACUGGCCAGGACCUGGUGGGGUCUGGGGGCCCUGGGCACCCAGUAGCCUCCCCACUUCCACAGAGUUGGAGUGGGAUCCGGCGGGGGACAUUGGGGGCCUUGGGCCCUUGGGACAAAAGACAGCCCGGACACUAGGAGUGCCCUGUGAGCUGUGUGGCCAGAGGGGGCCCCAGGGCAGGGGACAAGGCCUUGAGGAAGCAGACACCUCUCACUCCCGACAGGACAUGCUGGAGUCUGGCCUCGGCCACCAGAAACGCUUAGCACGUCACCAAAGACACUCCCUGCUCCGGAAGCCUCAGGACAAGAAGAGGCAAGCAUCUCCUCAUCUCCAGGAUGUGAGGCUGGAGGGGAAUCCAGGGGCCCCCGAUCCUGCAUCCAGGCAGCCUCUGACCUUCCUCCUUAUCCUCUUCCUCCUCUUCCUCCUCCUGGUGGGUGCCAUGUUUCUCCUGCCCGCGUCAGGAGGCCCCUGCUGCUCUCAUGCCCGAAUACCCAGGACACCCUACCUGGUGCUCAGCUAUGUCAAUGGUCUUCCCCCAGUCUGAUGUGUGUAAUAAAUGGUCACUG
rnacentral:lncRNA from 1 species